UAGUGGCGAACGGGUGAGUAACACGUGGGCAAUCUGCCCUGCACUCUGGGACAAGCCCUGGAAACGGGGUCUAAUACCGGAUACGAGCCUCCCGGGCAUCUGGGAGGUUGGAAAGCUCCGCUCGGUGCAGGAUGAGCCCGCGGCCUAUCAGCUUGUUGGUGAGGUAACGGCUCACCAAGGCGACGACGGGUAGCCGGCCUGAGAGGGCGACCGGCCACACUGGGACUGAGACACGGCCCAGACUCCUACGGGAGGCAGCAGUGGGGAAUAUUGCACAAUGGGCGAAAGCCUGAUGCAGCGACGCCGCGUGAGGGAUGACGGCCUUCGGGUUGUAAACCUCUUUCAGCAGGGAAGAAGCGAAAGUGACGGUACCUGCAGAAGAAGCGCCGGCUAACUACGUGCCAGCAGCCGCGGUAAUACGUAGGGCGCAAGCGUUGUCCGGAAUUAUUGGGCGUAAAGAGCUCGUAGGCGGCUUGUCGCGUCGAUUGUGAAAGCCCGGGGCUUAACUCCGGGUCUGCAGUCGAUACGGGCAGGCUAGAGUGUGGUAGGGGAGAUCGGAAUUCCU
rnacentral:rRNA from 1 species